rfam:Camelus ferus unplaced genomic scaffold scaffold188, whole genome shotgun sequence.
GAGGGUGUAGCUCAGUGGUAGAGCGUGUGCUUAGCAUGCGCGAGGUCCUGGGUUCAAGCCCCAGUAUCUCCG